AUGACAUCUGUCAUGGCGCCGGAUCAAGAUUAUGAUCAAGAUAACAGUCAUGUGGAUGAUACCCAGAAGUAUUUUUUCAAGUGCAUGGUUGGCGAUUUCCCAGAAAAAAUGGCCAUACCACAGAAGUUUGUGGAGAACUUCAAAGGUCAUAUCUCUGAAGUUAUCAAGCUAGAAGCUCCUGAUGGAAACAUUUACAAUAUUCAGGCUGUCAGGGAUCUGAACAAGAUAGUCCUCGGAUCUGGAUGGGGGGUAUUUGUCAGCUUUUACAAACUAAAAGUGGGCUACUUCCUGGUGUUCAGGUACAUCGGGGAUUCUCACUUCAAAGUUCUGAUAUUUGAUUUUGGAACUUGCUGUGAGAAGGAAGUGUUCCACGUUCUCAUGAACUGCGACCCUAAUGCCCAAGAAAAAGAAAGCAACAGUGAGUCCCAUCGAAGGUGCGAGCUCUGUGAUGUGCAUUUCUAUUGGCAUCACCUGGAUGAUAGGCAGAAGCAUUUCCUGAGGCUCAUGGUUGGCGAUUUCCGUCGAGAAAUGAGCAUACCACAGAAAUUUGUGAACAAUUUCAGAGGCCGGAUCUCUGAAGUUAUGAAGCUAGAAGCUCCAGAUGGAUACAUAUACAACUUUAAGGUUACCAAGGAUCUGAACAAGAUAGUCCUUAGAUAUGGAUGGGCAGCAUUUGCCAGUGAUUAUGAACUAAAAGAGCAUGACUUGCUGGUGUUCAGAUACAUUGGGGACUCUCACUUUAAAGUCCUAAUAUUUGACCCAAGUGGUUGUGAGAAACAAUCAUUCCACAUUGUCUUGAACCAUGCUCCUAAUGUACCAAAAACAGGCAUAUCUCAUGAUCGGUCAUUCAUCAGGGAAACAAGGCGCCGAGACUGCGGAUCACACGAUAACAACAGUAGGAAAACUAAAAAGAUGACUCCGGUGGACUCUCCUUCACCGAGAUUUGAAGGUGUCACAUCUCCAGAAGUCACCAUGAAUUCAUGUGGCCUUCGGGAAAUCGCCGAGCCUCACUAUGUCCUAGCAACGGGGUGCAAUCUGACUACAGCACAGAAGGCAGAAGUCGACGCGCUUGUGAAGAAAGUUAGGCCUGUAAUUCCAUUUUACAUCACAGCCAUGAACAAGACAAGUAUGUCUGGAUCUCUGGCCAUCUGCAAGGAUUACGCUGCCAAAUACCUUCCACAUGAAGACCAAUUCAUCACACUCUGCCAUCCUCAUAAGAGCAACAUAUGGGUAGAUAAUUUGAAGGUUAUCACUGAUGGUUCAUGCAUGCUUUCUGUUGGCUGGUCGUGCUUCGUUCUCCACAACGAGUUGCGGGAAAGUGACAUCUGCCUAUUUGAAGUAUCGAAAAGUGACGGUGAAGUGACAAUGGUUGUUCAUUCUCUUGAAGGAGGUCAUCACCUACAAGGGAAAAAGCCCGAAUCUCAAAACAAGUGCACUUAUCCAGUUAAGGUCGAGGUGACCGAGGAAGAGGACAGUGACAAAGAACAUGCUGAGUCCAACUACUACUACUCAAGGUAUGCCUAUGACCUGACCGGCGAGGAGCAAGAGGAGAUAUUCAGGUCAGCGUUGAUUCAACAGGGCAAUCCGGUAUACGUCGCCGUCCUGCAGGAGAAUCAUGUUAGCAGCAGGAAUAACUUGCUGACCUUUCCCAGAGACUUUGCGGCUAAGCAUCUCGCGGAGAGGUCGCACGACAUCCUGCUCCUGAGACCUAACAGGAGAGAGAAGUGGUGCGUGAGGUACUACUACCAUUCGAUGAUGAGGAUACAGGGUUUCAGCUACAGCUCCUGGACCAAGUUUGUCUCUGACAACGGGCUGCACGAGGGCCAUGUCUGUGUCUUCGAGCUGAUGAAAGGCGUGUGUGAGGCCACGAUGAUGGUCCACGUUUUCAGGAAGUUCAAUGGCAGGUUUGUUCUGCUGGAUUAA
rnacentral:rRNA from 1 species